GAACGCCGUGUGCGGUGAAAAUCGCAUGCACGGUGUGGAUCGGGGGAAAAACUGGAGAUUAUUUCAAAAGUUUACCUAUCGAUAU
rnacentral:ncRNA from 2 species